ACAUGACGCUUUUCCACGUCGCAAUGUUUUCUUAGUAUAAAUAAAGUGUCCGCGCCUUUCGUGAAUCAUAUUGAACACAUAAGCAAGAAGAGUUUAUAAGAAGACGUGGACGUUACUUCGAGAUUAAUCGUGUAAAGAUGCAGAUCUUUGUGAAGACCCUCACAGGCAAGACCAUCACCCUUGAGGUCGAGCCCAGUGACACCAUUGAGAAUGUGAAGGCCAAGAUCCAGGACAAGGAGGGCAUCCCCCCAGACCAGCAGCGUCUGAUCUUCGCUGGCAAGCAGCUGGAAGAUGGCCGCACCCUCUCCGACUACAACAUCCAGAAAGAGUCCACCCUCCACCUUGUGCUGCGUCUCAGGGGGGGCAUGCAGAUCUUCGUCAAGACCCUCACUGGUAAAACCAUCACACUAGAAGUGGAGCCCAGUGACACCAUUGAGAAUGUGAAGGCCAAGAUCCAGGACAAGGAGGGCAUCCCCCCAGACCAGCAGCGUCUGAUCUUCGCUGGCAAGCAGCUGGAAGAUGGCCGCACCCUCUCCGACUACAACAUCCAGAAAGAGUCCACCCUCCACCUUGUGCUGCGUCUCAGGGGGGGCAUGCAGAUCUUCGUCAAGACCCUCACUGGUAAAACCAUCACACUAGAAGUGGAGCCCAGUGACACCAUUGAGAAUGUGAAGGCCAAGAUCCAGGACAAGGAGGGCAUCCCCCCAGACCAGCAGCGUCUGAUCUUCCAUCACACUAGCUGGCAAGCAGCUGGAAGAUGGCCGCACCCUCUCCGACUACAACAUCCAGAAAGAGUCCACCCUCCACCUUGUGCUGCGUCUCAGGGGGCAUGCAGAUCUUCGUCAAGACCCUCACUGGUAAAACCAUCACACCAGAAGUGGAGCCCAGAGAAUGUGAAGGCCAAGAUCCAGGACAAGGAGGGCAUCCCCCAGUGGAGCCCAGUGACACCAUUGAGAAUGUGAAGGCCAAGAUCCAGGACAAGGAGGGCAUCCCCCCAGACCAGCAGCGUCUGAUCUUCGCUGGCAAGCAGCUGGAAGAUGGCCGCACCCUCUCCGACUACAACAUCCAGAAAGAGUCCACCCUCCACCUUGUGCUGCGUCUCAGGGGGGGCAUGCAGAUCUUCGUCAAGACGCUCACUGGUAAAACCAUCACACUAGAAGUGGAGCCCAGUGACACCAUUGAGAAUGUGAAGGCCAAGAUCCAGGACAAGGAGGGCAUCCCCCCAGACCAGCAGCGUCUGAUCUUCGCUGGCAAGCAGCUGGAAGAUGGCCGCACCCUCUCCGACUACAACAUCCAGAAAGAGUCCACACUCCACCUUGUGCUGCGUCUCAGGGGAGGACAGUAAAAGUUUCCCCUGCUUCUGUUCUGGCAAAUGUUCUGUUUUUUUCUUCAAAUGUUCUGUUUUUUUUAUUGAAGUCAUUAAAGGCUAAAUGAAUGCAAUUAAUUUCAGUGUUUAUAGAUUUCUGAAAUGUUCUGAUACAAAACAAUGGAACUUAUGACGUAUAGGAAAUGGUACAUUAACUCACACUUGCAGUGAAGGCAUGCUAUAAGAUGUACAAAAUACAGCCGCAUAUGAGUGGUCAGGAGCAUUUCACGCUUAGUACUUACCAAGGCCCUAUUUAUGGCGAUGUAUCGCAGGAUGGUUGAGUGAUUUGUCAAAUUAAUUCAUGUGCUCGCCAGAGGUAUUACGUCGCUGGUUUUUAAAGCUGGACAGACUCAACCCAUCUGGUCUACGUGGGAUGAAUUUGACAAUGUAGCCACCCUACUCCUAGUCUCAUGCUCCAAAUCAACCUCUGCCACACUGAUGGCAAGGGGCAGUUUAUUUUCCUGUCAGAUCAACUCUACUAGGAUUUAGUUUAAUGGGGAAGAAAUGGGUUGGAAGCUACUCUGAAAAUGUAGUAUACCAUGCUACCAAUUGAUUCCCACUGGAAUCAACUAAAUGUACUUUGUAAGAAUAUAAAUCUGAAGAGUCAAAUUGCAAGAGAUCACUUUGGGGUUAUGCUACCUGAAUGUAAUUUAGACACCAGUUUCAAGUGAGACCCUUGGCUUAAGUUUCUACAACUUUUAGGAGUGCAUGGGUGCGUAUUUCAGAGUAGGCGUUCUAAUGGAAGAUUUUAUUACCUUUAACUAGGCAAGUCGAGAACAAAUUCUUUCAAUAAUGGCCUAGGAACUGUGUUCGGGGGCAGAACGACAGAUUUUAACUUGUCAACUGUGAUUCGAUCUUGCAACCUUUUGGGUACUAGUCCAACACUAACCACUAGGCUACCCGCCGAAAUAUCCACAUACAUGCUAGAAUGUGCCAAUAGGCUCUCCCACUAGGAUUCACUUGCUCCCAUUGAAAACAAAAAUUGCAAUUGCUUUCUUCACCCACAUUUUAUUUUUGCAAAACGAAUGUAGUUCUAAUACUUAGCUACACCGCUGCAUAGCAAGAAAGUAAUUCACUACUGAAAACACUACCAAAAUUUGCAUUUAGUUCAAUGACCAAGCUACUGCAACAUUGUAAAAUUACAAGUUCAACGAUAUGUAGUUCAAUACUCCCUGACACCAAACAUAAAAGUAAGGGUCACGGGCAGUACUGUUUUGUACCUGAAUUCCUGUGAAUGAGCCUUUACUGCCCCCUGUUGACUAUUAAAACAAACCAAAGCUGCAAUGUAUGAAAUGGAGCAUUAAAGUUAUUUUCUAUG